rnacentral:lncRNA from 1 species
ACGGGCAGUACUUCCCACUCUGCUGCACUGCCUUGCUUUCCUCCUGGCGGGGAAGAAAGAAGGAAGGAAAGAAGACCCAGAGCUGGAAUCAUACACAUCAUCGCAAUUCAUCCACACCGCAGUCCUGUAAGGGAUAGAAAGGAGGUCAUUCGAAGAGAUGAUGGCACGGGACCCAGGACCUGAGGAAGCUGCAGUGGGUGAAGGGGAGAAACAGAGGAGCAGGGGCUGGAGAAAGAGUGGGGAGUCAUCAACCACCCUCCUUUCUCCUGGCGUCUGGUUUUCGGGGCCCAGAGGUCUUCUCUAGGGCCUCAGAGAAGCUUCCAAGUCUGUUCAUUUCUCUUUCCCCACCCCUGCUUGUAUCACAAAUAAAGAAAUUAUUGACAACUGA